UCUGUUCGGAAUUAGGUUUAUGGAGGAUAUUAAUUAAUGAGUAUCAAUCUCAACAUCGGCGAUUCACACAAGAAGAAUCGGGUUGAAGUCUCAAAUACUAAAAACCCCCCUUCUUCUAUGGAAAUCUUGCCAAGGUACAUGCAACAAUCCAAUGAGGCGAAGCUUUCUGCUCUUGAAUGGGUUCAGAGUGAAGAGAAAAACUUGAGUCGGGAGGACAAACUAAAUUAUGUUUCUCACUGCAAGUUACCAUGAGCAACUCUCAGAUUUCCUUUCAUAUAAACCAACUUUAAACUAAGUUGGUUGAAGCAUUAAGGUGUGGAGUUUUAAGUUGACACUGAAGUAAAAA